ACCCAGCUAAGGAGUGGCGGAGGUGGGGCCCAAACGCGCGAUCCAGCCCUCGCGCAGGCGCCCUGGAACUCCCCGCGCGUGUUGUGACCCAGAAUUCCCGGGGCUGUGGAAGAGACCAUAGACUCAACAGGAGGGGGAGUCCUGGGUAGCGCGCCGGUCUAAAUCGUUACUUGGCGGAAAGUUCCCAUGAGUCUUUGCCAGCGUCCCCCUCCUUUUGUGAGGAUUGGGAUAUUCCGACUCCUUAAGGGCCUGGCGCACAUAAGGUGUGACCUUUUCAUUCCCGUUGUUAUGGAGGGCCACAUCUGCCAGAGCCUGGAGUCUGCGAAGGCCGGGACCCGGUUCCCCGGCCCACAGUGGGGGUGUGCAAACCCGAGAGAACUGGGUUGCAAAUUCGUGAAGAAUCAGCAUCAUGUUUGGCAGCUGAGUAUUGGAGCCAGGAGCCUGCCAUGAGGUUUUGAGAACAGAGUGCUGUUUUAGAGCUGGCAGCAGCAUCUCAGCCCAAGAGAAGGUUAUAUUCCCAGAGGAUGUCAGUCCCAAGGACCAGUAGCUGCCAUCAGUUUGGAUUCUGAAAACUAACUGGCAUCAACACUGGGUGUAGAAACAUGCUUGCCUUAUGUAUCAGAGGACAUGCUCAGCAGAUCCAAGAGAUAUAUUUGGCAACUUUUUCUAGAAAAGGCACAUUGGGUAUCAUUCAUUACAUUCUUGAGUUUUUUUGGGUUUUUUUUUUUUUUUUUGAGACAGUCUUGCUGUAUUGCCCAGGCUGGAGUGUGGUGGCACAAUCACAGCUCAUUGCAUCCUCAAUCACCCAGGCCUAAGCAAUCCUCCCACCUUGUAGCUGGGACUACAGCUCACAGCACACCUGGCUAAAAUUUUUUUUUUGUUGAGACGGAUUCUCUAUGUUGCCCAGGCUGGUCUCAGGCUCCUGGGCUCAGAUGGUCCUCCUGCCUCAGCUUCCAAAGGCACAGGCCAAGUUGUAGCUUUGUCCCUUGCCAUCAUGCCCAACAAGAGGUUCUAUACCUUUUAAUGAAUUGACUUUCAUAAAUUGGUUAUGUUGGUGGGCAAAGUUCUUUAAGCUGGAAAUUGUAAAUUCCUCCUGAAAUGUUUUUUCAUGCAGUUACCAUGAACUAAUACUACAAUAAAGGAUGGUCUUGGGUGUCAAUUCUUGAAAAUGUGUAUUUGAAGAAAAAGUAAAUUUCGCCUACUGUUGUCAGAUAUUA
ensembl:lncRNA SNHG29 small nucleolar RNA host gene 29